CAACCAACCAUUGUUUUGGGGUAUUAGUUAAAAAUAUACUCAGAGUGAGGUAAGUUAUUUUUUAGAAAAUAUUUAUUCUGCCAUCCCCAUCCUCUACCUGAGAUAGUUUCCUAUCAUCUUUGGCUUAGUUUCAUCAUGUUCUGGCUUGGUGGUAAGUGGAAUGAUUUGCACUGGCCUUUGGGUUGUUAGGAGACAGGACAGCACAGAGACUUGAAAUGUACUGUGGGAUUCAGAAUAUCUAACUAGGUUUUUGCACUCCUGCUUUUUCCCUUCAGAAAGAAAAAAAAAAUGCCACAGGAUGAGUCUUUUCCAUGGAGAUGAAGCAAGAAAUAAAUACUUCCUGGAUAAGAAUCAGGGUCUCACUGAGUUGCUUAGAGCCUCACCAAACUGCUGAGGCUGGCUUUGAACUUUUGAUACUUCUGUCUCAGCCUCCAGAGAGAGCCACUGGAAUUAUAGAUGGGAUUCGAUCCUCUAUUCCUCCAGCCUUGUUAUUGCCUUUUUUUCCAAUAGAAUGGAGCAGAAUCCACAGUGUGGCAGUUUCAAGCCCAGGGUUUCAGAGGUAUUGGGCUCUUCUGCUAUUUCCCUCAGAAUUGUGCUGCUGUGUGAACAAGCCCCGGUUAGCCAGCUGGAGACUGCGAUACCUGGUGGGAGGAAUCCCAGCUGUCUCAUCCAAGGGUUUCCUAGCUCAGCCUGCAGCUCUCCAUGGGAGAACCCAGCCUAGAUCAGUAGAGCCUGCAGGUGACAACAGGUGCAUGAGUGAGCCUGUAAGAGACCACAAGAACUGUCUCCAAACAACUUGAGGACAUUAAUGAGUCAUUAUUGUUUUAAAUCAUUGAGUGUUGGAGAAUUUUCUUGUAUAACCAAGUGAAUGUACAUCAUUAUUUAAAUCAUAAGUCAGAUGCUUAAUAUCCCAUGUAAUUUUUCUCUAUCCUUCCACAUAGAAGUGAUUCUGCCUGUCAUGUCUUUUUCCUUUAAUUUUUAUUACUAACUUGUUUUUGCAAUUUGUCAUUUCAUAAAUUACUCAUGAUGUUCAAGGAUUUAAAACUUCAAUUAUUUGAAGUAGUGCAAGCUCAAGUCAAUGCCAUUAUUUUUAUUCCUAUACAACUUCUUGCAGGAUUGCAGCUCAGUGGGAUAGUGUUUGCCUAGCAUGCCUGAGGCCCUGGGUUUGAUCCUAAGUACUAAAAGAUUACUGUUUGGCAUUACAUAAAAUUACUUAUAUUAAGUAUACUAAUACUACACUGAAUCAAAACUGUAGGGCUAGGUUUAAAUCCAGCAGAUCUCUGUAAUCCAAAUCUCAAAGAAGACCUUCAUGAAAUUACUGAAGCUAAGCAAAUAUGUUAUCUGGUUCAACAUGAAUUUCUGCCUGAUCUUAUGGGAAGCUCCCGAUCAUGAAUUGUGCCACACUGUUGGUUCCACUUUGAGGCAAAUGACUUGUCUACCCUAUGUAGGUGUCCAUGGGAGUGUGUGGGGUGUGUGUGUCUGUGUGUUAGUGUGUGUGUGUGUGUGUGUGGCUUCUAACCUUUAGCAGAAGAAGGAGCUUUGAGUCAUUAACUCUUAGAUCAAGGGAUUGAUACGUUGGCCCACUGAAGGGCAUCUGGCAUGGCACCUUGAGCUCUUUCUAAAGUUUAUUUGGGAAAAAAAUUAAAUCACACAUUUUCCUUGUCCAGGAACUCACAAACUUAAGAAAGUUAGCCACAUCCACAUAGUCUAGGGAACAAGAAAGAAUAAUCAAUAACAAAGAGAAUAUGUUUGUAUUUAUCUAUCUAUCUAUCUAUCUAUCUAUAUAUAUAUAUAUAUAUAUGAGAGAGAAAUAAGAGGAUGUAUAAUAUAAAACAUAUAUCUGUACAUAUAUGCAUGCAUGUAUAUAAUACAUAUAUACACAUAUAGAUACACAUACAUAAAUAUUGGUAAACAAUAUCUAUAUACACACACAUAUAUUCCAUAUUAUAUACAUAUAAUAAAAUCUGUAAGAUGUACCAAAAUAUAUAUUGUGAUUAUCAAAGAUUUAUGGUAUUAAAGAAAUUUUUGUUUCCUUCAUACUUUUUCAAUUUUCAAAACUUCCUUAGUUGAGCAUAUGUAGAUGCAAUAAUUACAAAGAAUAAGAUAACUGAUGGAGAGAAUAAUGUUGAUUAUUUUUUUUAUUUUUGUUCCAUUACAUGUAACAUGAGUAGGUUGGACAAGUAUUUCAGAAAUUUUCCAGAUCGUAGUUUUGGGGAUUUUUGAGUCAAUAUGAAUUCCAUGAUAUAACGUGUCUAAAAAUACCUAGAGGGAUAAGAGUUAGAGGUGAAGAAUAAAUAAGAAGCUUCUCUUUAACCAUCAAGAGGCAGAUCAGGAACAAAGAGUCUCAAGGGUUGCUCCAUUUACAGUAAGAGGAAAACUUUUCAGUUUUUACUGAAAACUACACUUAGUGGUUUUUAUUAUUGUUUGCAAUGGGGUUUUUCCACUCUAGUUAAAAACACCUAAAAUGAGAAGAGCCUGCAUGAUUACUUCCUGGUCAACUUGAAAGGACAAGUGGAAAUUUUCACAAGACACCACUCUGCAGCGGAGAGGAAACCAGGAGGUAAAUGGGUGGAGAACAACCAGAGUUGAGGUGUCCAUGAUCCAAAGUCUUAGAAUCAAAUGGAAAACCCCAUGCACAGAGAUGGCUUCAGAAAGACAUAUCUACCUUGUCUCCCAGAAUUUAAUCCUAUCUAGAAGCUUCAGACCAUAUGUUUCUUAUAAAUCUGAGAGGCAAACACUGAAUUAUUUAUUUAGCCACCCCACUUGGAUGUCUUAUGAGACAGCUAAAGCUUAAUAUGGCCAAAACAGAGCCCUUAGUUUCCCCCUUUAUGCCUGGCUCUCCUCCGCCUUUUCCAUCUCUGCAAAUGGCACUACCAUCGACCUAGUUACCACAGCCAGAAGCCUGAGAGUCAUUCUUGACUUCUUCUUUUCCCUCAUAUUCCACAUCCAAUUCAUCAGCAGAUCCUGUCAAUUCUCUCUCCAACAUGUACCUCAUGCCCAUCUAUUUUUUCUUUAUUUUGAGAACCCCUGUUCUAUCUAAAUCAUGACCAUGUUUACCUGGACUUCUGGAAUACUCUCCAGACUGUUUCUUUCAUUUCCUACAAUAGCUCCUACUGUUUUUUUCCAGAGUGCUGCCACAGGGAGUUUUAAAAAAUUCAAAUGAAGUUUAUGUUGCUUCUCCAUUUACACUCACUGUUGUUAUAAUGUUAUAGCUUGGACAAAUGUUCUCCAAAGGCUCAUGUAGUAAAGGCUUGUCCCCAGUGCAUGGUGCUACUGGGAGCUGGUAGAACCUUUAGGAAGUGGGACCUAGGGGGGAGGUCUUUUGAUUGGUAGGUCAAUGCCCUUAGAGGAGAUAUCAUGACCUGAACCUUUUCUUCUUCCUUUUUAUGUUUCCUGGUCACAUGGGGUGAGGGGCUUGCUUUCCCAAAUUACUCUCAUGAUGCACUGCCUCCUACAGUCUCAAAAACGAGACAGCCCAUUGAACAUGGCUCAAAACUGUGAGCCCCCCAUGCUCCUUUGUCCUCAUAAAUUGAUGAUCUCAGGUGUUUGUUAUAGUAAUGGGAAGCUAACUAGCACAUAGAUUUCAAACCAUGCUUCUACCAUGGAUCACAUAUGCUUACAUACUCUGACUUAUUCUCCUCCUCAUCUCCAGCUACCAUUUUGUUUUAAUUCCUAGGAUGUCCAAUUUCUUUGUAAGUCUCAAAACAUACUCACUUGGCCACAAGGACUUUCUCUACUCUUUCUUUACCUGGAAUGUUUUUCCAUGGAUCCACUCUCUUCUAUCAGUCUACUGAUUAAGUUUCACUCCAUCAGUAUGACCUGUCUAUCAUCUGCCUACUGGAAACUGGACCUUACUGUCAUUCUGUAUCAUAAUACCCUGUGUUACUUGAGCUCUGUGUCAGUUAUUAUAUAUUAAUUUAUCAUGAAGAGCCUGUUUCCUUCACUUGAGAAUAAGCUGUCAGAAGACAAGAAUUUUGUCUUCUUUGUGGGAUAUACAGUCUCUCUACAAAUACCUGGCUUAUGGUAAUUAUUUGAUAAGUCUUUGUUCAAGACACAAAUAAAUAUGUGUGGGCUUGGGCCUCAACAUAUAAGACAUAUAAAUAUAUUAUUGACCAUGACAGGAGGAGAAUAUAUUCAGAAAUGACUACUUUGAAAAUCAUUCUCAAUUGUAUAUGUUCUCUAAAUUUUUGGAGAGUUUAGCUGACAAUAAAACAUUUAAAGAGGCUAUUAUCAGUUCUCUACCAUAUAGCAUCUGCUGAUUGAAAUAGAUUAUAGAUCAAUUGUGACAGGCAAAUCCUGCUGAUAUUACAGCAAUAAGAUGUGGGCCUUUAAGAGGUGGAUAGACCAUGAGAGGUUGACCUCAGGGGUGGGAGUAGUGAUUUUAUAAAAUGAUGAGUUGAUCUGCUUUCUCUCUCUUUCACACUCUCACAUCCUCCAUGUGAUCAUAUGGCAUGAAGUCUUCUCCAGUUGCUGGUGCAUUGAUUGGACUUUCUAGCCUCUAGGACUGUGAGCCAAUAAAUUUCUGUGCAUUGUUAGUUACCCAGUCUCAGGUAUUCUGUUACAACAGCACAAAAUGAACAAGAUAAUACUUAGAAUUUAAAUUUAAAAAAUAUAAUUAAAUAUAGUAUUUAUUUGUGUAUCUCUAGUAGUAAUUUUUCUUUUAACCCAUAGUGUAAUAGAAAAAUAUGUUUUAAAAGUCAAAUACUUGGGUUCAAAUCCCAGCUCUUUCAAAUCCAAGUUGGGGAGAUUGGAAUAAAUUUUACUUCUUUCUUGUAUUCUUAGGGUUUUUUUCUUACCUAGCAUUGAGCAACUCAUUGCCUGCUAUCCUUCUUUUCUUAAAUCCCACCACACCUACUGGGAAAAAAUAAAAUAUUCAAAAAUAACAAGGGGAUUCAUCAAAACUUUAAUGUGUAAAAGCAACAAUUUAAUAUUAAAAUUCUACAUAGUCAUUGUGGCUAUUUACAAGAGGAGCUUAUUAAAGUGGUUAACAUGAGUGGGGUUGCACUUGUCAUAUUUAAUGACAAGGGGGAUAGUUUUCACAAAUAAAUGCAGAAUAGACAUGAGAAUUACUCUGUGGCUCAUUUUUGAUUGACUAUUUCUCUCUGCUGGAUAUUUAUGAUGCAAACAAGCCUGACUCCUAAUACAUUCACAUGUCACUGAAAUACAGGAAUGUGUACUGAGAAAUGUGUUGUUAACAAACAUCAUAUAGCGUACUCAAAGAUGGCUUUGAGAUCCUUAGGUGAUAUAUGGUCCUAUAUAUCCCACUGUUGACUGAAAUGUAAAAUGUGGUUCAUGACUACUUAGCCAAUUGGUUAGCAUCCGUAAAGCUCCAAUGUGUUUUCUGAAGGUCUUGUCUUAAUUUGAGCCUGGUGAAUGAUCUUAACCUCAUUUUGUAGAUUCUACACAAAGCAUCAGCUGGGUUUCUAAAUACUCAUUGCUAAAUUCCCUUCCCGUUUGAUGUUUGCAUUUUUUAAAAAGAAUUCAACUUUUAUUUUGUUCAUUUGUUUUUACGUGGUGCUGAGGAUUGAACCUUGCACCUUAACCUGUGCUAGGCAAGUGCUUUACCACUGAGCUGCAGCCUCAGCCUCUGAUGUUUGAAUUUUAUCUGGGAUAAUCCAUUUCUGAACCUAUGCUGUGAGUGCUCUUUAUCAAUGAUGUGGUCUGUAAGGACAGAAGAAACUUUCUAAUUCUAUCUCAUGUAGCUUCAGCCCCCACCCCCCUGAAACAGAAUUAUAUUACAGCAGUAUUUCCCUGGACCCACAAGGUGUAGGUGAUUUUCCCCUGAAAGUUAUUAUUCCCAUGCUUGUAAAUAAGUACUCCUUCUAACGCAUAGUCAAACAAGGCUGCUUUUUUGUUAUUACUCAUCCUUUUCUCAAUUCUCACAGUAAACUGGUGUCUGAAUCUCAACCUAAUUGCCAAAAUCUUGGCCCCAUUAGUAUUUUCUGUCUGGUAAGUCCCAUUCAUCAGAGUCAACUGAAUUUCAAAGUCCUUCUAAAUGAUCUCUGGAAGGAAACAGCUCCUGGCAAUUAAAAAAAACAAUAAUUUAUAAUCAUCGUAUAUUGACUAAGGUUGGUCAUAAUAUUUAUAAAUAACCAUAGAAACACAUGACUAACAGGAUCUACACAGUUGCUUCCAAACCUCCUUCCAGCACCAACAGAAUCACAUAACACUAACAAUCUGAAAUGCCAGGUGAUGGAAAUAUUGCUUACAUAAAGAUAAACCUGCGGCACUGAUUUCUUCAUGGGUUACUUCACAGGCAGUGCAGCCUGUUUUGAAUUUCAGGGUUCUGUAUCCUUACAGCCUCCAGAUGACUGCGGAUUGAUGAAACCAUAGUUCAACCAUGCCUGCUUAGUUCAGAAAAGAGAUUUCAGAAAUGAGAAAUAUUUAACAUAGAAUUAUUUUGUGAUCCAUCCUAGAAGAUAAUUGAGGCAAGCUUUACAACUAAAAUAGUAGUCUUUCAUUCAAGGUCAAAAGGAAUGCAGUCAAUUCUCACAUAAAGAAUAAACAAAGACUGAAUGCUACCAGAGUGCUGUGGAGGCAAGUAUGGGUGUGUGUGUGUGGGGGGUGAGGGCAGGUGCUAUUUCUGCCUAAUUAAACUUGACCUAUGAAAUCAUGUUGGGAAGUGCUUUGUUCCUACAUCAUUUACCCAAGGAUGACUUCAGGAGGAAGGAAAUAAGAAUUGACUGGCUCUGGACUGUAAUAAGUGCAAACUGACUUUCUAUGAUCAGAAACAUUAACCCUCUUGCCUGUUUGGAUGCCCUAACGAGAUGUCCCUUGUUCCAAUCUUCACAUAUAUACUCAAUGUAUUUAUCUCAAGGUUUUUAUAUUCUGGCUUCUAAGUUAGGUAUUGAGGAUAUGACAAUGAACACAAAAGAUGAGCAUGACUUCAAAAUGAAGAUGGUGUCUAUAAGUUAAAUAAUUGGCCUAGUGACAAAAAAACACUGUAAGCUUUAGUUAGUAAAAUGUUAAGAAUCAUUGAAAAAUAAUAUACUUAUGAAUAAAAUGGCCAUAUUAGAAUUCUUUGUUAUUUUAUCAUUUUGGUCUUUUACUAUAAGGUAGUUAAUCCUACUCGAGUUUUAUAGCAUCAUAUAGCCUUGGACACAUCCUGUGUGUUUCAUAGUCAUAGUCAAUCAAGAUUAAGACAAUAUAGAUAUAUAGAUGUCUAGAGACAGAAAUAUUUAUCAAGGCUAGAAGUUUUGAAUUUCAGGGUUCUGUAUCCUUUUAGACUUCUAAUAUGAUACUGGAAGGUGCUGAAUAAACAGUAAAUAAAGUGGAUCUUUAAAGAUGACUUCUCUGACUCUGUUUUUUAAUUUUUCACUUUUAACAUGUAAGUUGAAGGCUAAGUGUUACUCUUCCUAUUUUAGGAUUCUUUAAAGACAAAGGAGAUAGAUACCAUGACCCCCUUCCUCCACCAUGAGUGUA